rnacentral:rRNA from 1 species
AUUCCAGCUCCAAUAGCGUAUAUUAAAGUUGUUGCAGUUAAAAAGCUCGUAGUUGGAUUUCUGAAUCGAAUGUCCGGUCGGCUUACUAAGUAAGCUCGUACAAGUGAUAUUUGUUUCAUUUUUUGUGAGGAAAUUUAUCUGUCAUUAAGUUGAUGGGUUUACGGACUUGCAUCGUUUACUGUGAAAAAAUUAGAGUGUUUAAAGCAGGCGUUUGCCUUGAAUACAUUAGCAUGGAAUAAUAAGAUAUGACUUUGGUGGUCUAUUUUGUUGGUUUGCACACCAGAGUAAUGAUUAAUAGGGACAGUUGGGGGUAUUCAUAUUUCAGCGUCAGAGGUGAAAUUCUUAGAUCGCUGAAAGAUGAGCUUAGGCGAAAGCAUUUACCAAGGAUGUUUUCAUUA